UCCUUCUUACUUGGUUUCAUAUUUUACAAAUGACGAGUACAAUGUUCUUUAGUUCUGUUCUUCCACUUGAGUCCUCUCACUCUACACUUCUCAUUAGCCGAGAGAAUUAGACAUAAAGCAUCAUCUUCUUACAAGGUAAGAUAUUCUCUGGUCUAAUUCUCUAGUUUUGUUUACCUGUUCUCUUUCAUCUUGUAAUAAUAAUUUAUGGACUUGAACGUAAAAUUUAAAUGCUCUGCUUUUUUAAUCUAAUUUUGUAUGUAUAUAUAUUGCUGGCGAAACUUUAACGAUGUGGACAAUAAACGUUAACUUUUUUUAGUUAUAUAUAUAUAUAUAUAUAUAUAUAUAUAUAUAUAUAUAUAUAUAUAUAUAUAUUGUAUUUGUCUGAGAAAACAUAGAAUGAGGUCUUUUAUUUGGAAUUGAAAAAUAAGAAAGAAAGAAUUUGUUUUUUUUUUCUUCUUGAAAUUAAAGAAGAAGGUGUUGACAUUUAAAAUGCUUUCAAUUUUUAUGUAAUGCAUGUAAUGUAUUGACAAACGAAACAAAAAACGAUUGUAAUGAAUGGUUGUUUUUUUUGGUUAAUUAUUUAUUGCAGAGAGUUUGAAGAACGGAAACCCAAGAAACCUUUGGGACUGUGUGGCGUUUUCCCCAUCAAGCUUGGCAAGACUUUGUUGAAAGUUGACUAGACGAUAUAUAUUGUGCAUGUAGCUAGUUGCAAUAUCUGUAUUUUCUUUUUCUCUUUCCUGAUAACUGAUGGAUGGAGUGUGUAGGGUAAAUGAAUGUUAGGCAUAGAGAGUGUAUGAAGGUAAUGUAGGUAUAGAUGAAUGUUAAGAUGUGAAGGUAUAAAUGAAUGUUAGGAUGUGUGGAGGCAUAGAUGAAUGUUAGGAUGUGAAGGUAUAGAUGAAUGUUAGGAUGUGUGAAAGUAUGGAUGAAUGUUAGGAUGUGAAGGCAUAGAUGAAUGUUAGGAUGUGAAGGCAUAGAUGAAUGUUAGGAUGUGUGAAAGUAUGGAUGAAUGUUAGGAUGUGAAAGUAUAGAUGAAUUUUAGGAUGUGUGAAGGCAUAGAUGAAUGUUAUGAUGUGUGAAAGUAUGGAUGAAUGUUAGGAUGUGAAGGUAUAUAUUAAUGUUAGGAUGUUAAAGCAUAGAGUAAUGAUAGUAUGUGGAGGCAUAGAUGAAUGGCUUAGUAUAUAUGAAUGUAAGGAUGUUAAGGUAUAGAUGAAUGUUAAAAUGUGAAGCUGUGAAUGAAUGUUAGGAUGUUUGUACGCAUAGAUGAAUGUUAGGAUGUGAAGGUAUAGAUGAAUGUUAGGAUGUUAAGGUAUAGAUGAAUGUUAGGAUGUGAAGGUAUAGAUGAAUGUUAGGAUGUGUGAUGGCAUAGAUUAAUGGCUUAGUAUAGAUGAAUGAAUGUAAGGAUGUUAAGGGAUAUAUGAAUGUUAAAAUGUUAAGGUAUAGAUGAAUGUUAGGAUGUUAAGGCAUAGAUGAAUGUUAGGAUGUUAAGGCAUAGAUGAAUGUUAGGAUGUGAAGGUAUAGAUGAAUGUUAGGAUGUGUGAUGGCAUAGAUUAAUGGCUUAGCAUAGAUGAAUGAAUGUAAGGAUGUUAAGGGAUAUAUGAAUGUUAAAAUGUUAAGGUAUAGAUGAAUGUCUUAGGGUGUGUAAGCAUAGAUGAAUGUCUUAUAUUAGGAUGUGAAGUAUGAAUGAAUGUUAGGAAGUGUAGAUAAUGUAGGGGUGUGAAUAUAUAGAUGAAUGUAAGGAUGUGAAGUCAUAUUAUUUAUGUCUUAAGGAGUGAAAUAGCUAAUGGAUGAUGUGAAUAGAAGUGAAAUGACAGUGCGCAAAAAGGCUAAUCAACAUGCCAAAAAUAAAAUAAAAAACAUUAAUGCAAA
rnacentral:lncRNA from 1 species